ensembl:ncRNA T28D6.14 ncRNA
AACAUAUCAUCGCAACCGACAACUAACGGGACCUCGCCAACCAAAAUGGUUGAGGGGGUUCAACCCGUGAGACGUCGGCUGCUAUUACUUUUCACUUUUCACUGAACAAAGGUUGAACUUCUACCAGCUUUUUUUUCAAAAUUUUUCGGUCGCAAAUUCAAGGUUAUUUUUUAAGAAGCUACGACGCGAAAAUCAAAUUCAAGCUUUAAUUUUACCGCGAAAU